rnacentral:lncRNA from 1 species
CUCACUCAAAAGAACAACUCUUGGAUCGCACAAGUGUCAUCGUUCAUCCUUUACUACUUCUUCCAUCCUCUGAACCAUCAUAUUCCCAUGCUCAAGCCCAGAAGUACUCUGCUGUUAAUGCCACAAAACAUAUCCAGGAUUCUUCCCUAAGCAUUAUUACUCUUCCUUUACCUGCUUUUAGAUUAAUGAAACAUCAUUUUUGCAUCUAGGUUUCGCAUCAUGGAUUUUACAGUUAGAAAGUGGAGCUAAAUGGUUCUUAGAUGACCUCAUCUUUUAGCAAAAUCCCAAAAUCAGUAAAGUGUAUGGAUUGUAGUCUCCUUAUAUGGUCCUGAACAAUACGCACCACUUGAGCAAUGUUUUAAGAUUUAAGUUUGGUCCAAAGUCCAUUUUUCACAUGAUAUCUCUCGCAAGAACCAGCCUUAGGCAUGUGGAGAGUCAAAAGCCAACAUCAGUCUCUUUUUUUUCUCAUUUUUAGAAAAUGACAAAAUGCGUCAAAACAACUUUCACUGUUCAAACUCCAGGCUAACCACAAAUCCAAGUUAAUAUGUGUCUUUUUAGAAUCUAAUCGGCAAACAGUUAAUCAAUUAGACCGAAAUGCUAACAUUCACCAGAAUACCCAUAAAGAUUCAUGAAUCAGUAUUGAUAUCAAAUAAUCAAACACAGCAGCAUUAAUUCAAUAAAACUGCAGGGCGAAAUUCU